AGUGAACGCUGGCGGCGUGCUUAACACAUGCAAGUCGAACGGUAGCACAGAGAGCUUGCUCUCGGGUGACGAGCGGCGGACGGGUGAGUAAUGUCUGGGAAACUGCCUGAUGGAGGGGGAUAACUACUGGAAACGGUAGCUAAUACCGCAUAACGUCGCAAGACCAAAGAGGGGGACCUUCGGGCCUCUUGCCAACAGAUGUGCCCAGAUGGGAUUAGCUAGUAGGUGGGGUAACGGCUCACCUAGGCGACGAUCCCUAGCUGGUCUGAGAGGAUGACCAGCCACACUGGAACUGAGACACGGUCCAGACUCCUACGGGAGGCAGCAGUGGGGAAUAUUGCACAAUGGGCGCAAGCCUGAUGCAGCCAUGCCGCGUGUAUGAAGAAGGCCUUCGGGUUGUAAAGUACUUUCAGCGGGGAGGAAGGUGUUGAGGUUAAUAACCUCAGCAAUUGACGUUACCCGCAGAAGAAGCACCGGCUAACUCCGUGCCAGCCGCCGCCGUAA
rnacentral:rRNA from 1 species